ACUUAGGAAUUUUAAUAGUUAACAAAAUAAAAAUUUUGAGGAAAGUCCGGGACUAAAAACAAAAAAUUUCUUUAAAUAAUAAAAUAAGAAAAAUGUUUUAAUUCGAAACCUUAAUGAAAUUAACAUCUGGUAUGAAUCAGGGUAAUAAAAAGAAAAACUAAUUUUUAUAAAUAAGUAAUUUAAAAAUUAGAAGAAUAUAUAACCUAAGGUUAGUCUUUUAUCAAAAGUCUAAUUAAACCGAUUAACUUUUGAUAUAGUUAAAUAAACCUAUAUUACCAAAUCUGGCUUAUUAAAUUCUAAG
rnacentral:misc_RNA from 1 species